AGACCGAUAGCGAACAAGUAGAGUGAUCGAAAGAUGAAAAGCACUUUGAAAAGAGGGUUAAAUAGCACGUGAAAUUGUUGAAAGGGAAGGAUUUGUGACCAGACUUUUUCUGGGCGGAUCAUCCGGGGUUCUCUCCGGUGCACUUCGCCCAGUAAAGGCCAGCAUCGGUUUUCGGCGUGGGAUAAAAGCAGUAGGAAUGUGGCUCUCUACGGGGAGUGUUAUAGCCUAUUGUAUAAUACCGCGCUGGGGACCGAGGUUCGCGCUUCUGCAAGGAUGCUGGCGUAAUGGUUAUCAAUCACCCGUCUUGAAACACGGACCAAG
rnacentral:rRNA from 1 species